CUCAGAGCUUAAGAGCACUGACU
rnacentral:piRNA from 1 species